UACGUAGGUGACAAGCGUUGUCCGGAUUUACUGGGCGUAAAGCGUGCGUAGGUGGUUCGUUAAGUCUGAUGUGAAAGCCCUGGGCUCAACCUGGGAAUGGCAUUGGAUACUGGCGACCUAGAGUGCGGUAGAGGGGUGUGGAAUUCCCGGUGUAGCAGUGAAAUGCGUAGAUAUCGGGAGGAACAUCUGUGGCGAAGGCGACACCCUGGACCAGCACUGACACUGAGGCACGAAAGCUAGGGGAGCGAAAGGG
rnacentral:rRNA from 1 species